rnacentral:rRNA from 1 species
AUGGACGCCAAGUCGGUGACGCCGGGCGCCGUGGCUCUCAUCCUCGCCAACCCCACGCCGGAGUCGCCCGACGACGUGCCGGAGAUCGUCGUGCAGGUCCUCGACCUCAAGCCCAUCGGCUCCCGCUUCACUUUCAUGGCCAGCGACGGGGAGGCGAAGGUCAAGGCGAUCCUCUCCACCCACUUCGCGUCGGAGGUCCACUCCGGCAAGCUCCAGAACCUCGGCCUCGUCCGCAUCCUCAACUACACGUGCAACGACAUCCCACAAAAGACGGACAAGAUGGUGAUCAUCACCAAGUGCGAGGUCGUGUCCCAGGCGCUCGACGCCGAGAUCAAGAGCGAGGUCAGGAUAGAAGAGCCAGCGGCUCUCAUGAAGCCCAAGGAGGAGGCUGCGGUCCUCUCCAAGCCCAUUGGCGGGGCCCCGGCUGCGAUUAUGCUGAAGCCGAGGCAUGACGUGAAGUCCGCGUCCCAGAUUGUUAGCGAGCAGCGCGGAAAUGCUGCUCCCGCUGCUCGCUUGGCCAUGACGAGACGGGUGCAUCCUCUGAUCUCCCUGAACCCCUACCAGGGGAACUGGGUCAUCAAAGUGCGGGUCACAAGCAAGGGCAACCUCAGGUCAUACAGGAAUGCCCGUGGAGAAGGCCAUGUCUUCAACGUAGAGCUCACUGAUGAGGAUGGCACCCAGAUCCAGGCCACCAUGUUCAACGAGCCUGCAAAGAAGUUCUAUCCCGUGUUUGAGCUUGGGAAGGUCUACUACAUCUCCAAGGGGUCGCUCAGAAUUGCGAACAAGCAGUUCAAGACAGUCCAGAAUGACUAUGAGAUGACCCUGAAUGAGAAUGCUGUUGUUGAAGAAGCUGAGGGUGAAUCUUUCAUUCCACCAGUGCAAUACAACUUUGUCAAGAUUGAUAUGCUGGGGCCAUAUGUUGGUGGCAGGGAGUUAGUAGAUAUCAUUGGUGUUGUUCAGAGUGUAUCACCUACUUUGAGUAUCAGAAGAAAGAUCGACAAUGAGUCAAUCCCAAAGCGUGACAUUGUUGUUGCAGAUGACUCGAACAAAACUGUCACCAUUUCUCUUUGGAAUGAUCUUGCCACCACUGUCGGUGAGGAACUCUUGGACAUGGUUGACUCUGCACCUAUCAUUGCAGUCAAGAGCCUGAAGGUGUCUGACUUUCAAGGUGUGUCUGUUUCUACAGUAGGCAAAAGCACACUUGUGAUUAACCCAGAGUUGCCUGAGACUGAGAAGCUUAGAGCUUGGUAUGAAUCUGAAGGCAAGGGUACUGCCUUGGCAUCAGUUGGUGCUGGAAUGGGUGCAUCCAACGCUGGUGGCUUGAGAUCAAUGUACUCUGACAGAGUUUUUCUGUCUCACAUCACAAGUGACCCUAACUUGGGCCAGGAUAAGCCUGUUUUCUUCAGCCUGUAUGCCAACAUAAGCAACAUCAAGCCUGACCAGACCAUGUGGUACCGCGCUUGCACCACCUGUAACAAGAAGGUGACUGAGGCACUUGGAUCAGGAUUCUGGUGUGAAGGGUGCCAGAAGAACUAUGAGCAGUGCUCAUUGAGGUACAUCAUGGUGAUCAAGGUCUCUGAUCCCACUGGUGAGGCCUGGCUGUCUCUUUUCAAUGACCAAGCAGAGAGAAUCGUCGGCUGCAGCGCAGAUGAGCUUGAUCGGAUCAGGAAAGAGGAGGGCGAUGACAUGUUCCAGCUCAAGCUGAAGGAAGCCACCUGGAUUCCUCACCUGUUCCGUGUCAGCGUCGUGCAGAACGAGUACAUGGGCGAGAAGAGGCAGCGAAUCACCGUGAGGAGCGAGUCACCGGUCGACUACGCCGCUGAAGCCAGGUACCAGCUCGAGGAGAUCGCCAAGCUCACCUCCAGCUAG